rnacentral:misc_RNA from 1 species
UCCCUGUUGCCAGGGCAGUCUGGUUAGAAAAAUACAACUAACCAUAAGGGUUGCGCUCGUUGAUGGACUUAACCAAACAUCUCACGACACGAGCUGACGACGGCCAUGCAGCACCUGUCACUUGGCUUCCGAAGACACUCUCUCCUUUCGGAGAAAUUCCAAGGAUGUCAAGCCUGGGUAAGGUUCUUCGCUUACCAUCGAAUUAAACAACACGCUCCACCGCUUGUGCGGGUCCCCGUCAAUUCCUUUAUGUUUUAGUCUUGCGACCGUACUCCACAGGCGGGAUGCUUAACGCGUUAGCUUCGCUACAAGCCGGGUCGAUACGGCUUACAGCUAGCAUCCAUAGUUUACGGCGUGGACUAC